rnacentral:tRNA from 1 species
GCUUAAGUAGCUCAGUUGGUAGAGCAUAAGACUGAAAAUCUUUGUGUCACUGGUUCAAAUCCAGUCUUAGGCA